AAGAAAGUAAGCAAGGGCGCAUGGCGGAUGCCUUGGCUCUCGGAGGCGAUGAAGGACGUGAUAAGCUGCGAUAAGCUUCGGGAAGGUGCAAAUAACCAUUGAUCCGAAGAUUUCCGAAUGGGACAACCCGRCAUUCUGAAGGAAUGUCAUCCAACUAAGUUGGAAGCUAACGCAGGGAACUGAAACAUCUUAGUACCUGCAGGAAAAGAAAAUAAUAAUGAUUCCCCAAGUAGUGGCGAGCGAACGGGGAUUAGCCCAAACCAAUUUUGUUACGGCAAAAUUGGGGUUGUAGGACCACGAUAUCGCAAGAAAUUUGGUGAGAAGAAUUCUUUGGAAAAUGAAACCAUAGAGGGUGAUAGUCCCGUAUUCGAAGCCAGACGAAGCGUAGUGGUAUCCUGAGUAGCGCGGGACACGAGAAAUCUUGCGUGAAUCCGCCGGGACCAUCCGGUAAGGCUAAAUACUCCCGAGAGACCGAUAGCGAACCAGUACUGUGAAGGAAAGGUGAAAAGCACUUCGAACAGAAGAGUGAAAUAGUCCCUGAAACCAUGCGCCUACAAGCGGUCGGAGCAGCGUAAGUUGUGACGGCGUGCCUUUUGCAUAAUGAACCUACGAGUUACUUUUUCCGGCAAGGUUAAGCAUCUUGAGAUGCGCAGCCGAAGCGAAAGCGAGUCUGAACAGGGCGAUAAGUCGGAAGGAGUAGACGCGAAACCAAGUGAUCUACCCUUGGUCAGGUUGAAGGUUAGGUAACACUAACUGGAGGACCGAACCGAUAAGCGUUGAAAAGCUUCCGGAUGAACUGAGGGUGGGGGUGAAAGGCUAAUCAAACUUGGAGAUAGCUCGUACUCCCCGAAAUGCAUUUAGGUGCAGCCUUGUGAGUUACUAAUGUGAGGUAGAGCGACUGAUAAGAUGCGAGGGCUUCAYCGCCUAUCAAGUCUUGAUAAACUCCGAAUGCGCAUUAGUCCUAUCACAGGAGUGAGGGCAUGGGUGCUAAGGUCCAUGUCCUAAAGGAGAAGAAUCCGGACCAUCAGCUAAGGUCCCGAAAUAAUUGCUAAGUUGAACUAACGAAGUCAGAUUGCUAAGACAGCUAGGAUGUUGGCUUGGAAGCAGCCAUUCAUUUAAAGAGUGCGUAACAGCUCACUAGUCGAGGAGUUUGGCGUGGAUAAUAAUCGGGCAUCAAGCAAUUUACCGAAGCUAUGGGAUGUGUAAACAUCGGUAGGGGAGCAUUCCACUCCGCGUUGAAGGUGAAGCGUGAGCUUUUCUGGAGCGUGUGGAAAAGCAAAUGUAGGUAUAAGUAACGAUAAAGGGGGUGAGAAACCCCCUCGCCGAAAGACUAAGGUUUCCUGAUCAACGCUAAUCGGAUCAGGGUUAGUCGGGUCCUAAGGCUCAGCCGAACGGUGAUGCCGAUGGCAGAACAGGUUAAUAUUCCUGUACUACCUGACGGAGUGACGUGGAGACGGAGUCGUGACAACGCCGCGGACUGACGGAAUAGUCCGUUGAAGGGUGUAGAUGUUGAUCUUUGCAGGCAAAUCCACAAAGAGAGUCGAACCUGAUAGUAUACCAAUUCCUUCGGGAAACGGUAAUAGCGCGUGUAAACAUACUCCCAAGAAAAUCCGCUAAACUUAAUCCUUCAGGUACCCGUACCGCAAACGGACACACGUAGUCGGGUUGAAUAUACUAAGGCGCUUGAGUGAUUCACGGUUAAGGAACUAGGCAAACUGACCCUGUAACUUCGGGAUAAAGGGUCCCUACGGCGACGUAGGGCGCAGAGAAUAGGUCCAGGCAACUGUUUAACAAAAACACAGGGCUGUGCCAAAUUGAAAGAUCACGUAUACAGCCUGACACCUGCCCGGUGCUGGAAGGUUAAGAGGAGAUGUCAUCGCAAGAGAAGCAUUGAAUUGAAGCCCCAGUAAACGGCGGCCGUAACUAUAACGGUCCUAAGGUAGCGAAAUUCCUUGUCGGGUAAGUUCCGACCUGCACGAAUGGUGUAAUGAUCUGGACACUGUCUCAACCGUGAGCUCAGUGAAAUUGUAGUAUCGGUGAAGAUGCCGAUUACCCGCGAUGGGACGAAAAGACCCCGUGAACCUUUACUAUAGCUUAACAUUGAAUUUGGGUAAUUGAUGUGUAGGAUAGGCCGGAGACUUUGAAGCGCAGACGCCAGUWUKUGUGGAGUCGCUGUUGAAAUACGGCCCUUUGAUUAUUUGAGUUCUAACUCCUGGACARGAGGACACUGUUUGGUGGGUAGUUUGACUGGGGUGGUCGCCUCCAAAAGUGUAACGGAGGCUUCUAAAGGUGCCCUCAUGACGAUUGGUAACCGUCAGUAGAGUGUAAUGGCAUAAGGGCGCUUGACUGGGAGACAUACACGUCGAUCAGGUAGGAAACUAGAGCAUAGUGAUCCGGUGUUUCCGCAUGGAAGGGACAUCGCUCAAAGGAUAAAAGGUACUCCGGGGAUAACAGGCUGAUCCCUCCCAAGAGCUCAUAUCGACGGAGGGGUUUGGCACCUCGAUGUCGGCUCGUCACAUCCUGGGGCUGGAGAAGGUCCCAAGGGUUGGGCUGUUCGCCCAUUAAAGUGGCACGCGAGCUGGGUUCAGAACGUCGUGAGACAGUUCGGUCUCUAUCUAUCGUGGGCGUAUGAAAUUUGCGUGGCUCUGACACUAGUACGAGAGGACCGUGUUGGACCGACCUCUGGUUUACCAGUUGUGCCGCCAGGUGCAUCGCUGGGUAUCUAAGUCGGGAUUGGAUAAGUGCUGAAAGCAUCUAAGUACGAAGCCAGCCACAAGAUUAGAUUUCUUAGGGUCGUCAAAGACGAUGACGUUGAUAGGAUGCAGGUGUACUCUGGUUUACCAGUUGUGCCGCCAGGUGCAUCGCUGGGUAUCUAAGUCGGGAUUGGAUAAGUGCUGAAAGCAUCUAAGUACGAAGCCAGCCACAAGAUUAGAUUUCUUAGGGUCGUCAAAGACGAUGACGUUGAUAGGAUGCAGGUGUACAGGUGGUAACAUCAUAGCCGAGCAUUACUAAUUGCCCGUUCACUUUCUUU
rnacentral:rRNA from 1 species